AAUUAUUGAAUCAAUACUUAAUAAAGGGGCUGAUUAGUUAGUUAGCAAUGAGUUCCCCGAUGAUUACGAACCAUGAGCCAUAGGUGAAAUCAUACAAGAACAUAGUGUUAUUUAAGUAAUGAUUAAGUUCCCUUGGAUCGGGAUAUGCACGGGUAGGAUAACAACUCAUGAUUAGGUGAUUAGGUGAUUCCUGUAAAUUAUUAGGAAUCCAUUAAGUUAAGAUUAUUAGAAUUAAAUCAGUUGAUUUUAUGGAAUUGAUUAUGGGCCUUGUGCCAUAUUUCGGAAUGAAAUGUUUCAGUGGCCUUUGUACCACAUUUAUGAAUAAAAUGUUAAGUUGUGAUCCUGGUGAUACCGGAGACUACCUGAUAUAAGAGUUGGAUAAUCUGGUUGGAUUCCUAGAGGGAAUUCCACAUGACGAUAAGACGAGUCAAGGAGUCGUGUCCUAGCCCUCGAUAGGGAAUUUGACCGACUAGAUAGACCUCCUGAGCCUAACUCACCUCAUGUUGUCUAUGUAAAAUGAGCCAAGAUAAUAAUUGUUUGUUACACCUUUAUGUAUGUUUAUGCUAUUCUUUAAUGAAUAUGAAUUAUAAAUGAGAAGAAUUGUCUUCUUCCUUGUUUUUGUAUUAAUAUGUUGUUUUCAUUAGUUUCCUUCCGCUGUGAAUUUUUAUAAUUAGAAGUCAUUCUGUAAUUUAAUGUACUCGGAUUCAAUUAUGUAUAUUCCGACUAAAUAUUCUAGACAUUUUAGUUGUGGUGUUAUAAAUUUUAUUAUAUUUAUUGUACCG
rnacentral:lncRNA from 1 species